GGUAUGUCUAGUGACCUGUUUUCAAGUUUUGAUUUCCUUUUGCUCCUCAGCUGUGUCAGGUUGGCUGCAAUGUCUGGGAAAGGCAUUCGUCAUCUCUGUUACUGUGUUUUUUAUUUCUAGCCUUUGCAUUUGACUCUUGCUUUUUUUUAUCUCACUGCUGAAAUUUCCUGUCUCUUCAUGCAUAUUGUUCAGCUUUUCCACUACAGCCUUUGACAUACUAAUCAUAUUUAUGAAUCAUAUUAAUCUUAGUUAUUUUAAAUUCCCUGACAUGUAGUACCAAUAUCUGGGUUAUCUGUGAGUCUGGUUCUGCUGAUUGAUUUGUCUCUUGACGAUGUACUUUUUUCUUUCUUUCUUUGUGUGUCUUACAAUUUUUA
rnacentral:lncRNA from 10 species